ACUCCCCUCAGAUGCCUUUAAACCCCUGGCGUGGGGCUGACCAGUUCCCUGGGGCCUCUGAAAUCAAAGACACCCCCUCACUAGACUCCUUAAGACCCUCAGGCUGCUCACCACGAAAAGCCCCUCCACAUCUCUCACUCACACAUAACUCAGCAGAAAAGAUUAGGAUCCUCCAACUAAGCAAAUAUCUCCUGCCUUCUUAUUAUCUUUAGAGCAUCUGGGGCUAAUUACGUCCCUGUACACAGCUUAGGUAACGUCAGAUCAAAACUGCUGAAAUCGGGCUCCCUGUUCCCGCCUGCAUGAAGCCUCUGCAAAGUGCAGAGCCAGCACCAUAGCUGGACGUGGCCAUGUUCUCCAGCAGCAGAGAGCGCCCAGGCUCUGUGAGCUCAUGCCAAGCGGCCACGGCCAAGCCUCCCAGAUGGGCAGUAGAAUGCAGUGGUCAGGACCCACACUACCCUGGCCGGCAAGUCCCAGACUCAGCUUCUCCAUCGAUGCGGCUACCAUGGUGCAGAGAGGCUGAGGCACUUGUCUAGGGAUACUCAGCAAAAUGUCAGCUCCGGGAGCAGUUUUGUCUGGUUUGUUCACUCCUGUGUCCCCUCCAGAAGCCUUGUUGUUGCCUUCCCCAGUCCGAGCUGUGCAGAAACGGGAUGGGCUGACCAACAGGGCCAGGAGCCAGAGUGACCCAAUCCCUCUCCUACAUGCAAGACGACAGCUCCAGAGCAGCUCCUGGGUCCCUACAGCCCCCCCAGACCUCGGGAAGCAAGCCAGCCCGCCAGAGAGAGCCCGGAGCAGAGGGCCCACCACAAUCUCCCAGCCAGGGAACGUCAUUGUGAUGCAGCCAGCAGAGGAGCUUCAGCCUGCAGGGGCUUUCAUUUCCGAAGGCCCAAGCUGGGGGUGGGAGAGAUUGCUCCCAGAUAGGCAGAAGCGGCUGGGCCGACUUUAUUCCUGCUCUAGGCAGGCAGCCAAACUCCUUAACCCUUGAUGGAGCUGGAAACUGGGAGGCAGCAAGCAGGCUGGCCUGGCUGUCCUGGACCCUGGUGUUGGGGUGCAUUUGUGUGGGGGGGAAGGGAACUCUUUAAUCACCUUAGUAACAAAGUUAUCCUCAUCCAUGUGUCACUGAGUCUCCAUUAUUGUCAUAUCUAACCCACCCCAUCCCUGGGAGGUGGUUAUUGUGAUGGUCC